GGGCUCGAUCCUACGAACUGUGAGAUCAUGACCUGAGCCGAAAUCAAGAGGUGAAUGCUUAACCAGCUGAACCACCCAAGUGCCCCAGAAAUAAUUUCUAUAUUACAUUACUAGAGAAUUAAGGUGGAAGUCAUACAGACCAGUGGUAUCUAAAUUUUUGCCGCAUUUGCAGUCACCUGGAGAUCUUUAAAAACAUCCCCAGACAUUCUGAUGUAAUUGGUAGGAGGUGCGCCUGUGCACUGGGAAUGUGUAAAAACGUCUAGGUGAUUCUGAAGUAUGGCAAAGUUUGGGAACCACCUGCAUAGACCACUCAGUGGAUGUACAAUUGAUCCAGGCUGAAAAUCUAGAAUGGAUGGUUGGGAACAUUUGGAAAAGAAAAAGGUGAUACUCAGAAAAGCUAACUCUUCUGUUUGUGUAGGAUUAGAAGAAAAUUGGGAGAAGGGGGUUGGUGGGCAUGGCGAAUGGGGCUUUCUUUGACUAAUAUAUAGAAGGAGCCCUAAGCCCUGAAAGUUCUGUUCCCAGUGGGAUAGGGGCUAGGUCUUCUUAUCUGACUGCCCAGAGCCUAUGUGGCUUUUAUAGCCGCUAAAGACUGGGCACUGGCUCAGUGGGGGCACAGGCUCUCCACAGAGUGAGAGCAGAGCCGUGUUAGAGCUGCCCGCACCCUCAACGCCUUCCCCCAUGUCUUGCUUCAGGUUUUAAUUACAUAGACAUCUCUGCUCCUCAUGUGAGAGAUGCAGUAUUAAUGCGAUGUCUUGGGUUACAGCUGGGUCACAGGCAAUCAAUAUACCCUUUCGGACACCCCCGACCCAGCUUCCGUGGUUUAAAGUCUGAGCUGGGGGAACUCAGGGCAGGGUGGAAGCGUGCGGAUUGUCAGUUCUCUUGCAUGUGUGGUUCAUAACACAUGGGCAAUAUCCUGAGCGUUAAAUCUGGAACGAGUUGUUUAGUGGGGUCUUAGGAGCAUCUGUCGACCAGGGUACCCCAGCUCUUGUGCACUACAGAGACCAAUUUGAAAGACCCUUCAUGGUGGCCCCUUGUUGUAUUUUGAUUUCUUUGGGUAUGUGUGGACCUCUCUGGCUGACAAUUUAACUUCUUCCUUCUCCUGUUCCAUCUUUGUGAAAGAUUGAUGUGUUUAUACGUCCCAUUCACACUGCCUUGGCCCUUUGUCGCUCUUUGCAGCCAGUUGAUGGAGGCAGCAUUUCAGCAUGGAUGACUGUGGAGUCCAGAGUGCUGAGAGACCUAUCCUGGCUUCUCGGUCCACUGUCUCUGUGACCUGAGGAAAUUAUUUAAACUCUGAGUUAUCUCCCUGUAAAGUAGGGUCGAUGGGAAGAGGAAAUGAAGGAACACAUUCUAAAUCCACAAAAUCUCCGUCUGGCUCAUAGAAUGCUCUUAGGUACUUUUAGUCAUUAUUACUGCGUCACUUGAGGGCGGGGACAGUGCUUCUUUUCGCUCAUUGCUGUGGCAGUGUAUCAGUGAGCCUUCUGUCAGGAGACAGCACAUACAUGAGUUGAACAGGGAUGAUAUAACGUUGAGAAUCAUUAACAGGUAAACAGAAGGCUCUAAAGAACGUAGGAAUAACAGAUGUAGGGAGCAGCCACCACCUUUAGGAUUGAGGCAGAGACCCCAACGAAGGAAAACACCUACAAGGGUGAUCCCCAUGCAAAGGUGGAGAUCCACGUUCACUGGAGACAGUGUGGGGGUGGCCCAGUGUGGGGGUGGCCCAGUGUGUGGCACAGAAGGUUGUCGAGGUGCCGCAGGCUGGGGCUGGUCAACAGGCAAGUGCCCACUAGGGGCGCCAGUGAGGCUUAUUAGGCCAGUGGAGUGUUCACCAGGUACAGCUCCAGCAUCAUGAGGCAGGGCAAAGAAGGAUGGAUUUGGACCUGAGGGGCAAUAAAUGGAUAACUGGCCUGAGUAGGAGCAAUGGGACUUGACUUGCAGUGUCAUUGCAAGGGCUAAAUGCAAUAUCAUGAUUGUAACUGCUUUUGGUUAAGUGCGGUUACUUAAAAAAAA